AUGAGGUUGAAGGAAUUGCCUGCAGACAGGAUUGUGUCCAAGCACAGAUCUGGAGAAGUCUACAAAAAACUUCUGCUGCAUUGAAGGUUCCUAAGAGCACAGUGGCCUCCAUAACUCUUAAAUUGAAGAAGUUCGGAACAACCAGGACUCUUCAUAGAGCUGACCCAGCCAAAGAGCAGUAAGAAAAGCCACGGCCUGGAAAGUAGAAUCUGCCAAGCAAGGUGUCCUUAGUAGACUCGCCUCCAAAGAGGAGUUAAAUUAACCAAUCUACUUGCUUGACCCAUAGGUAUACAUGAAGCUUUGUUGAGAUUUGGGAGGUG